rnacentral:rRNA from 1 species
GACGAACGCUGGCGGCGUGCUUAACACAUGCAAGUCGAACGGAAAGGCCCUGCUUUUGUGGGGUGCUCGAUUGGCGAACGGGUGAGUAACACGUGAGUAACCUGCCCUUGACUUUGGGAUAACUUCAGGAAACUGGGGCUAAUACCGGAUAGGAGCUCCUGCUGCAUGGUGGGGGUUUGUAAGUUUCGGCGGUUGGGGAUGGACUCGCGGCUUAUCAGCUUGUUGGUGGGGUAGUGGCUUACCAAGGCUUUGACGGGUAGCCGGCCUGAGAGGGUGACCGGCCACAUUGGGACUGAGAUACGGCCCAGACUCCUACGGGAGGCAGCAGUGGGGAAUAUUGCACAAUGGGCGGAAGCCUGAUGCAGCAACGCCGCGUGCGGGAUGACGGCCUUCGGGUUGUAAACCGCUUUCGCCUGUGACGAAGCGUGAGUGACGGUAAUGGGUAAAGAAGCACCGGCUAACUACGUG